rnacentral:misc_RNA from 1 species
AAUCUAUCAACACUCCACAACACUGUGCACAAACCAUGUUGGCCUCGCCUCAUUUCAUGUGAGGCGUGGGUCUUUUGCCAACCAACCAAAACCAAACUAAAGCCAAAUGAUACCUGAGGGCGCAGCUUAGAGUUGCGUCUUCUCAAACCAAGA